rnacentral:rRNA from 1 species
GACGAACGCUGGCGGCGUGCUUAACACAUGCAAGUCGAACGGAAAGGCCCUGCUUGCGUGGGGUGCUCGAGUGGCGAACGGGUGAGUAACACGUGAGUAACCUGCCCUUGACUUUGGGAUAACUUCAGGAAACUGGGGCUAAUACCGGAUAGGAGCUCCGGCUGCAUGGUGGGGGUUGGAAAGUUUCGGCGGUUGGGGAUGGACUCGCGGCUUAUCAGCUUGUUGGUGGGGUAGUGGCUUACCAAGGCUUUGACGGGUAGCCGGCCUGAGAGGGUGACCGGCCACAUUGGGACUGCGAUACGGCCCAGACUCCUACGGGAGGCAGCAGUGGGGAAUAUUGCACAAUGGGCGGAAGCCUGAUGCAGCAACGCCGCGUGCGGGAUGACGGCCUUCGGGUUGUAAACCGCUUUCGCCUGUGACGAAGCGUGAGUGACGGUAAUGGGUAAAGAAGCACCGGCUAACUACGUG